rnacentral:rRNA from 1 species
CAGUGGGGAAUUUUCCGCAAUGGGCGAAAGCCUGACGGAGCAAUGCCGCGUGAGUGAUGAAGGCCUUAGGGUUGUAAAGCUCUUUUACCCGGGAUGAUAAUGACAGUACCGGGAGAAUAAGCUCCGGCUAACUCCGUGCCAGCAGCCGCGGUAAUACGGAGGGAGCUAGCGUUGUUCGGAAUUACUGGGCGUAAAGCGCGCGUAGGCGGUUUUUUAAGUCAGAGGUGAAAGCCCAGUGCUCAACACUGGAACUGCCUUUGAAACUGGAAAACUUGAAUCUUGGAGAGGUCAGUGGAAUUCCGAGUGUAGAGGUGAAAUUCGUAGAUAUUCGGAAGAACACCAGUGGCGAAGGCGACUGACUGGACAAGUAUUGACGCUGAGGUGCGAAAGCGUGGGGAGCAAACAGGAUUAGA